AUUAAAUUAACAGAUUUCUCUAGAAUGGUUUUGUAUAUCCUAGCCUAAGUGGGAAAAGACCUAGAUAACUUGAAAAUAGCUGACCUACACAACAUUGUUAGAACAUUACUUCAAGUGCUUAUUUAAACCCAUAAUUGAAAAUCAAGCAGCAGGUGGUAAAUUCAGUCUUACACUGCCUCAAGGCAUGGUUGGUUGUCAUUCCUAAUGAGAAGUCCAAACGCAUAAUAAAGAUCAGCAGUGAGCCAGGCCCCUUCCAGAAUGUGAGAUCCCUGAACAGAGACACCCACACUAAUACAGGCAGUGGGGUAACAGAAGACACCCACACUAAUACAGGCAGUGGGGUAACAGAGACACCCACACUAAUACAGGCAGUGGGGUAACAGAGACAACCACACUAAUACAGGCAGUGGAGUAAGAGACGCCCACACUAAUACAGGCAGUGGGGUAACAGAGACAAC
rnacentral:lncRNA from 1 species